UGAAAAGUUAAAGGCUGCCCAGCGUCAUACGGCAGGGGAAAUGAAGAAGAUCCAGAUAUCACGGGACGAGGACAUGGCUCUCAUGCGGGAUCUCCGGGAGGAGAUGGAAAGGAUAAAGACAACACAGAUCCUCAUGGAGGGAGACAUAAAGAAGAUUAAGGAGUCACUUGCUUUAAUGAAGAAGCUGGAGGAGGACCUUAAAAAGCUGAGGGAGGAUGCAGCCAAGUGGAAAGACGAGAGCAAGAAGGAGAUCUCUCAGCAAAUUG